UUGCCUACUACAACAAUCUCAUUAAUGCUCUGCUUGAUAAAGGUUUGCAGCCAUACUUGACAUUAUAUCAUUGGGAUCUACCGAACCAUCUUCAAGAGUCAGUGGGAGGAUGGUUAUCCGACAAAAUUGUAAAAUGUUUUGCAAUAUAUGCUGAGACUUGCUUUGCGAGUUUCGGGGACCGAGUAAAACAUUGG